rnacentral:rRNA from 1 species
ACGCACGCUGGCGGCGUGCCUCAUCCCUGCAAGUCGAGCGGACUUUCAAGAAGCUUGCUUUUUGAAAGUUAGCGGCGGACGGGUGAGUAACACGUGGGCAACCUGCCUGCAAGACGGGGAUAACUCCGGGAAACCGGGGCUAAUACCGGAUAAUAUCUUCCUUCGCAUGAAGGAAGGUUGAAAGGCGGCGCAAGCUGCCGCUUGCAGAUGGGCCCGCGGCGCAUUAGCUAGUUGGUGAGGUAACGGCUCACCAAGGCGACGAUGCGUAGCCGACCUGAGAGGGUGAUCGGCCACACUGGGACUGAGACACGGCCCAGACUCCUACGGGAGGCAGCAGUAGGGAAUCUUCCGCAAUGGACGAAAGUCUGACGGAGCAACGCCGCGUGAGCGAAGAAGGUCUUCGGAUCGUAAAGCUCUGUUGUCAGGGAAGAACAAGUACCGUUCGAACAGGGCGGUACCUUGACGGUACCUGACCAGAAAGCCACGGCUAACUACGUG